rnacentral:lncRNA from 1 species
GGGACAGGGGGACAGAGGGACGGGGGGGGACAGGGAGACCAUGAGACAGGCAGAGCAGCAGGUGUUGGAACAGUUGUUAGGUAAUGUCUAUCUGUGGUUUAUGACGUUGGGACAACGACACUCUGGACCACUAGCAGGAUGUGAAGCCUUCGUCAGGUGAGGAGCAGAAAGGAGAGGGGUGUUCUGUAGAGAGGAGAGGAGAGGGGAUGAGAAGGGGGCACAGCCUGGGUGCAAUCUAGAGGCCUGAAGGUGAGCUUCUGUUUGCUGAGGUGUCACACGGUUCCUGCCUUUGAUCAACAGUGUAGUGUCAGGAAAGUGAGGACCAUGUUAGCUGUUAGCUGUUGGUUUGUCUUGGUCUUGAUAGAUUCUUAAAGGUUCCUAGAAUUCUUUUAGGUUCCUAGAAUGCUUUUAGGUUAUUAGAAUGCUUUUAGGUUCCUAGAAUACUUUUAGGUUAUUAGAAUGCUUUUAGGUUAUUAGAAUGCUUUUAGGUUCCUAGAAUGCUUUAAGGUUAUUAGAAUGCUUUUAGGGUCAUAGAAUGCUUUUAGGUUCUUAGAAUGCUUUUAGGUACUUAGAAUGCUUUUAGGUUCCCAGAAUUCAUUGCAGAGAAGGGAAAGAUGUAGUAAGGUAGAAUUUAAAAUGUUCAGUGGAGCCAGCUUUCUGGAUGGAGUUUAGUAGAGUGCAUCAAGGAUAGACUGUCUGAAUGACCCAUUUCCACACUACGGUGGAGACAAGGAAGACUCUGGGAUGUGGAUGAGACCAUGAAUCGCAGUAAAGCCGGGGCCGGUCUGUCAGGGAGGAGAUCCUGUCGUUGCCUCCUGUGAAGACAUGCUUCCUUAUAUCCCCAUAUGAAUACUGCUGUUAUGGAAUGUAAGGAAGUGUGUGGUUACAAGGGGACUGGAGCGCCAAACUGAGAAGAUGAUGCUUGUUUGGAUGAAAACUAAGGCUGCAAGACUGAAUGGGCGUUUUAUUGUCAUUUAUAUAGAGGAGUAGUGUGUGUGUGUGUGUGUGUGUGUGUGUGUGUGUGUGUGUGUGUGUGUGUGUGUGUGUCUGUGUGUGCGUGUGUGCGUGCGUGCGUGCGUGCGUGUGUGUGUGCGUGUGUGUGUGUGUGUGUCUGUGUGUGUGCGUGUGUGUGUGGCCCAGCCAACAGGUGGAAGGGGCUGUUCUUCAUUCGGUGUCCUUCAGCCCAGACACGUGUGGUCGUUAACCACUAGCUGUGUGUGUGGGUGAAAUGGCACCCAAUUUCUUAAAUAGUGCACUACUUUUAACCAGAGCCUUUAUGGGCCAUUGUCAAAAGUAGUGCACUUUAAAGGAAAUAGGCUGCCAUUUGUGACGUACCUCUGCCCUGCCCAGCCCUGCUGCUGACAGUCAAGGGGGAUUGACAGAACAGCUGUCCCCAGUUAUAGCAACAGGAGGAGGGGUUGGGAAAGAAGAGGAGAGGGAGGGAGGGAGAGGUGGGGUUGUCAUUGAGAGUGGGGUGUGUUGGGUAGAGGUUGAGUGUUGACUGGUUGUUUGUAUCUCUAAUAAUAUUAUUUCACUUUUUAUUUCACUUUUUAUUUAACCUUUAUUUCACUUUUUAUUUAACUAGGCAAGUUGGUUAAAGAACAAAUUAUUAUUUACAACGACUGCCUAGGAUGGGAGAGGUCUACUCUGCUUAGUAACAUCACUUUCUCCAUGUCUGUCUAGUCCAGUGAAACAUGAUUUAUCCCAAUGGUCUUAGUUAGUUUCCAGAUUGGACAGUGAUAGUUCUGUGAGUAAUGUUUUAUUUAACCUUUAUUUAACUAGACAAGUCAGUUAAGAACAAAUUCUUAUUUGCAAUGACGGACUACACCGACCAAACCAGAACGAAUUGUGCGCCGCCCAAUGGGACUCCCAAUCACGGCCGGUUGUGAUACAGCCUGGAUUCAAACCAGGGUGUCUGUAGUGACGCCUCUAGCACUGAGAUGCAGUGCCUUAGACCGCUGUGCCACUUGGGAGUGAUGAUUAGUUUCCUGAUUGGACAGUGAUAGUUCUGAACAAGAGGACGAUGUGGGACUCUGAAGUCAUGGCUCCAAAAUAUCAUCUCCACUGCCCUCCUGUCUCUCUUUCUUUCUUUCUUCCUCUCCUCACCCCUGUCCUAUCUCCUUCCUCCUCCUCUCUCUCCCUUCCUCCCAUUCUCCCCCCCUCUCGCUUUCCCUCUCGUCCUGAACUGCACGCCUUGCUGUGGCUGGUCAAACGGAACCAAGUCAGGUGUUUUAGUGAGGUUUGGUCCCCUUCAACCAGCUACUGCGUCGUGAACUCAGUCAGCAGACAUCCACAGCGGGAUUGACAGACAGAGUGUCCACUGCUACUACUGUACUACUGUAGCCUACUGCUGCUGCUUGUGUGUCUGAAUCACGUCAAAUUCAUCUACUUUUUGUACCACUAUGGAUGACUUUUUUUUUAUAGAUGUUUCUGUUACGUACAUUUUUAUGUUGUGUUUCAAAAAUAAAGAAUUAAAGAUGUGACCGUGAUUUUAUCUCUGUCAUAUUUACAUUGGGUUGCUGUGCUAUAAGUUGCUGGGUAUUAGCCAA